rnacentral:rRNA from 1 species
CAGCAGCCGGCUGGAAUACGUAGGGUCCGAGCGUUGUCCGGAAUUAUUGGGCGUAAAGAGCUCGUAGGCGGUCUGUCGCGUCUGCCGUGAAAUCCUCAGGCUCAACCUGAGGCGUGCGGUGGGUACGGGCAGGCUAGAGUGCGGUAGGGGAGAAUGGAACUCCUGGUGUAGCGGUGGAAUGCGCAGAUAUCAGGAAGAACACCGGUGGCGAAGGCAGUUCUCUGGGCCGUAACUGACGCUGAGGAGCGAAAGCGUGGGGAGCGAACAGGAUUAGAUACCCCCGUAGUCCCUGUCUCUUAUU